CGUUUAGGGUUAGAGAACCAGUGAUGGCUAGUUACGUUUAGGGUUAGAGAACCAGUGAUGGUUAGGUUUAGGGUUAGAGAACCAGUGAUGGUUAGGUUUAGGGUUAGAGAACCAGUGAUGGUUAGGUUUAGGGUUAGUGUUAGAGAACCA